GUGGCAGAGGUUGAUAGUAGUCCUCCAAUGUGUAUGUUCUCCUUUCUUCGUAAUUCAACCUUGCCCUUGUUGGGUUCUUUUAUCAGUAAGAUGCUGGAGUUUAAUCAGCCACAGCAGACUGUGAGGUGGAAGCCACUUGGUGAUUGUGGCCCAGCACCAAGAUAGAAGGCAUUUGGAUCCCUGGUGAUCACAGACCCAGCAUGUCAUCUCUGCACAGGUCUUCGAGCAGCAGCCCAAGGAAGGAAAAUAAGGACACACAUUUUUGGCUGGAUUAGUAAUGUCUUUCCUUUGUCUUCAUCCACCAGUGUUCUUGCUUCUCAGAAAGUGUGGAACAUUGGCCUUCCUUUUCAGAUUCACGUGAGAGCUUGGAGAAAAGAACACAGACUAAAAGGAAUAUAAAUCCAAAAGGAUGAGUGAAAUGGGAAUACACAAGGCAUGAGCAAUAAGACUGUUCUGUCAGAAACAAUGAGAAUAACUGCUCUACAGCUUACAAACCAGAAACUUACACGUUGUAUCUCAUUAAAUUUUAUUUUGAAUAUUGAGAACAUUCAGUGCAUGCAUAAUAUUUAAAAGUCAUAACUCCAGAAGUAGAACCAGUUGAUGAAUAAAAAAAAAUUCUAGUCAAAACAUAAUUUAUCUAUUAUGUACAGGACAGGCCAAAACCUCGU